rnacentral:lncRNA from 1 species
AAGGAGGGACCUGUAGUCAAAAUGUGCAAAUCUGAAGGAGGUCUUUGUGCACAGAAGCUGUCCUGCCUGUAAACGUCCCCUGGUCCCCAGAUUAGUGCCAAUUUAUUUUCCAGUGAAGACACCAGUGGUUUGGGGGUGGGGUGGAGUUAGCAGGAGGGAACAAAAAGGAAAAGGCACACUUAGCACUAACCAAAUGAGCCUCAAAUGAGCAUCCACUGAGCGAGUGUCUGCUGAGGUGGUGCUGAUGCCCUCGGAGCAUAAGUUUGCGCACAUGCACUUGGGUGAAUAUUUGUGGAAUAAAUUAUGAAUAUUCCUUUUUUGUGAUACCUUUAAAACUGUGACUGAUUUUUUUUGAAGGGAAGGAACAGAAGGAAUCCUAUAACUGAGAGAUAGCUUUUUUUUUUUUUUAAGUUGAAGAAUACAUUUAUAGAGGGAAAUGAUGAAUGAAUUCGAGUGUAUUUCACUGCCUGUUGCCCCCCAGGCCCCGCUGCUGCCACCCGUUUUAGUACGUAUUGGGCUCUUGGUGUCUCCAGGAUUUAAGGCCUCCCUGAGAACCAGAAGAGGUACAAUUUACUCUCCCCUUUCCCACUAUUUGGGAGGUUGCAGUCCAAGCUCAUAAAAGUCAUUUCCAUUUUCAAAAGCAGAGUUAGUGAAACACUUUGGAAACUUUCCCUGCACCCUCCACCCUCCCACCCCGCCCCAUUCCAUCUUCUUGUUCGAGAAAUGCAAAUCUAAAGCCAAUCCUAUUUUAUGUUAAAAAGUGAAAAACAUUUCAAUGUAUUCUUGUCUUGUAUGACUGGCUGAGAGCCUCUAAAUCCCCACCAUUUACCAAAUUAAACUAAUUGAAAGUGCUUCCAAAAGCCACAUCUGUAGGCUGACGUUUGUCCCUGCCUUUCACUUUCGGCUCGGGAAACUGUUCUCCAUUCCAUUGAUCCCUGAAUAGUCAUGCCUGUCAGGAAGCCACAUCAGCCAUUAUCAUUCUAAUUUUACUGCCUUUCUUGGUCCCUAAUCUAAUUUGCAAUGAUGCUUAAGCAUUUCGCAAGGCCAUAGCACUUUCUUCAGAAUUUCAACAAGAGCAUUAAACCCCCAAUUUACAUUAAUGAAGUGCACAUUUAAUUAGGGGAGAGGGUAAAUGGAGGGCUCUUCAGGAGCAGUUUGUGUGAUAUGAUAAGCACUCAAGAAGGGAAGGAGAUAGAUCUGAUAAAAGACUUGCCAUGAUUGAGGCAAAUCAGACAGUUGGAUUUCUUUCCCUCACCCCCUAUCUUUUUCCUAGCCUCAUCUUCCUUCUCCUCAUUCCCACCCUUCCAUCAACUAACUCUACCUCUCUAAAAUUUGCUUCAGAGCCACGACAAUAAAAUUACGAAGGCAGACCUGUCAACAGGGGAGGACCAGGCAAAGAACUAUUUAAGAGGAUCAUGUGGUUUUCGGUUCCCCUGCUGCCCCCCAAAGGGGAGAUUAACUUGUUCUUUUAAAUAAUGAGAAACAUAGGAAACCAUCUCCAGUCUCCUGUUUAAUGAAUGCAUUAAGCACACAGGCUGAGCAGCACAGUGAUACCACGCAAAUUUGGCUUGCUGUUGGGAAAGGGGUGAGCAAGGGGGAGGGCAGGGAUGAAUUUCUGGUCAUAGAUCCCAUGCAAUGAAUUCAUUACCACAUAUUACCCGAGAUGCAGUGAUGUCACAUAGUUGAGUCUCUGCCAUUGGCUUCUUUGGGCCAAGGCUUCUGACGCAGGGGAUUUUGAGUGAGUGUGUAUCUAUGUCCCCAUGCAUGUUUAUAUUUAGACAGAAAUUUUUUCCUUCUUUUAGCUUAGCCUUUGGAAUAUGAAUUUUAGCUACACACACUUUUCUGUUGUUUCAGGAUCACACAUUUUCUUCUUAAUCCAUAGUUCAUUAGGUCAAGGGUGGGGGCAAGACUUGUAUAUGAGUUUUAUUUUUUGAAUCUUGGUGUUCUUCCUUCAAGUUCUCCUUUUCCAUUAUGUCAUAAUGAUGAUGAUGUUAAUAAGAGCCCUCUCAAAUAAAGUGAUGUGAAUAGAACAAAAGCAACUUGAUAAUGGAAUGCUGUUUUAUGCUUAACAUUUUUGCAAAGCUUGAUAUUUUGGAGCUAAAAAUAAAAACAUUUGUUCAUGAUAGGAUUUUGUUUGCAUUUCUCACAAGUAUAAAAGUUAUAUUUCCUGGAAAGAUUAUGUAUUUUAUGAACUUACCAACACCUGCUAGACACUAAUGUAUAGUCAAAUACAAUCCCUCUCUUUCCAUUACCUUACUAAGAUACUUGAUGACAGGUCGCCCUUCUUUGGGGACAAGCAUCAUUUUCAAGCACAAAGAUAAGCAUUUAUCUAAGGCUUAUUAAGUUGUAAAUAAGCAGGAACUCAUCUUUCUUUGAAAUACAUAGCCUAUAGCCAUUGCUACCAUGGCUGUGUCUUCACUAUCACUCAGUGGCAGGAACAGAUGCCCUGAAAAACAAUCCCCUACUUGAAUUUUGGACCCGAGCUAAAUAAAUAAAUAAAUGAAUGAAUGAAUGAAUGAAUGAAUAAAGGUGCCACCUGGGCAGGGGUAAACAAUGGAAUAUUGAGGAGAAGAGGAAGAGGCAAAUAAUGAGACAUUGGAUAAUGAACAGGAAUUUGAAAAAAAACUAAUUUGAAAAAAAAAUAUUAAGGGGUGAGGUAAGAAUAACACUAUUAUAACUUAGUAUGUGUUCUCUUAGUGGGCCCUUCUGGGUUAGCUGUGUAACAUGGGUCAAGGUAUUUUCAUCUGUCUAAUAUCUGACUUUCUCAUUUGCAAAAUGGAGAUAAAAAUAGUACUUUAUAAAUUUUCUCUGAAGAUUAAAUGAGAUACUGCAUAUAAAGCACUUAAGAUGGUGCCUGGCAUCUAAUAAGCAAUAAAUGAAGUGAAAGAGGGAGUACAGAAAGCAUUCAGUAAAUGCUAUUAAGGAGGAAGGGAAGGAUAGGUAAAUUAAAUGAUGGAACCUUAUGGAGGAUUGAGAAAGUUCCGCAAGGGAGUACAUACUGAAAGGAAGGGAUGAUGAGGGAAAAGGAAGAACAAAUCACUUUUGGAUAACCAGCAUUUUCAGUGUAGAACCUUGUGUCUUUUCAAUGGAUGUGUCCAACAGAGGAAAAGGAGACUGCCAAAGACCAUGUCAGAGAGGGAGAAAAUAAAAUAGGUUGAUAACACACUCAAGAAUCUGCAUUGUAGACUGACUAUUAAAAUUAAUCUUUCCCGAUAGCCACCUCAAUGCAGGUUUGUUUUUUUUUUUAAGAUGCAACUGGGGGAGUUUUAUCCAUGUCUGAAAUUAGAAAUAUCUUUGUUUUCUGUGUAAAAUAAAAUUGGAUCUCUCUGAAAACCACAAUACCCACCCGCUUCUCCUCCUCAUCUUCUGCCUCUUCCUCCUCUACCACCUAUGGUGAACAUCAGUGACAUCCUUUUCCCCAGCACACAUCUCUUUCCAGAGACAACCACUGUUAUCGGGUCUUUUAGACCCUUCCAGAGGUAUUUUGUGCACGUACAUGAGGCUCAGGUUUAAAUUUUGCUCUUCUUUAGUCUCUUUGAUAGUGCCCAAGCCUGGAAAGAAUCAUGUAAAAUGUCAAAUAUUGGAUUCUUUGUCUUUUUUAGAGAAAUAAUUCCUGAUCAUUGUUAAGAAGUUAAGAACAAUGCAGAACUGUAUGAAGCUUUUGGGAUAUUUAUAGUUUAGAAACUGACUGAAAAUACUAUCUAUGAGGAAGAUACAUAGAGAUGAUUUACUUGCUGUGGACUGGUACAGGUGUUGUGUAUAUCUGGAAGUCACUUCUACUCAGGUCUUCAGUUCUUGCCAUCCAAACUCACCUCAUAGGGUGGAAAAUAGUGUAAGAGAAGGUAGACUAAGAAUUGGCAUGUGUCACCUUUGCACUGGGUAUAGAACUUGCUAGGGCACCACUGGCCUGGUGGCUCCCUGGAGCCAAGAUUGACUCCAUUCCUUGCCUAGGAAGGGCCUCAGGAUCUUGAUCUACAAUUACAACAUUCAUUCCUCAUCUGAAAGGUGAAAGGGCUGCUGUAUCCUGGUGGGGACUAAUUCCUAAUGAAACGGGAGAUGGUUUUGUAUUUGUGUAUUUGCACAGCAGAUGGACUGUGACUCUUUUUCAAGCAAAAGAAACUUGGUGCAGAGGCUGAGGUAUGUGCAGCCAAGACUUGCUCUGAGGACUGUGAGACUGUUCAUAGAGUGGCCUGAACCUGGCCCUCAUGUGGUCCACCCCAUCUCUACCAAUGGGCGCCAACAAGGAUUGCUAUGACCUGGACUUGGAAGUUCACUCUACCUAUAUAGCACAUGUGGAAAAAGCAUGUGAACAUAGAAAAAGUGACUUUUAGUCAUAAUUUCUAACAGUGCACACAAAGCCUGUCAGAAUAAGUGAGAUUGAUUUUUCAUGUAAUUAUGCAAUGUUCCCAAGCUUUCUUUAACCCAGUUUAAUUAGGCAAGGGUACACUGCAAACAGAAUACAGUGCUAAGCAGUUUUCUCUAUCGGGUUUAGCUAAGAAUAUCUAAGGCAUAUUUGCCUUUUCUCUAAAUAUACUGCCUGAUUGGUUGAGAGAAUUAGGAACUUGAGCUCCUCAGUAAAGAACUUAAAUUGCUUCUUUUGUGGACAUGAACCUGUGUACAAAACAGACAAGGGGAGGGAAUGAAAAGAUGACAGAACUUUGAACACACAGGCAUCAUUUUAAGAAAAAGAUGAAGAAGAAAACCCAUAUCAUCCAGCUAUCUUAAAGCUCUCAGAAAUUGGCCAGAUUCUAGUCUUCUGCGAAACAAUCACAGCAACAGCCCUGGUAGCAACUUUUCAGUGUCCCCUGCGGCCUGAGGUGGGUGGCAUUUUCCAUACUCCAUAGGUGGAGUAACAGGGGCACACUGAGAGAUUCAGCAGUUCUCUAAGAACUCCCAACAAGCUGAAAAUAGAGCCCCAGAUGGCAGCCAAGUUUCCUGCCCUGAAAGUGAAGAGAGAGACCUAAAAAAUAGGAUUAGAUUUAAAAGAGCAUAUAUACUUUCCAGGGGCUUAUCUGAACUGUGUCUCCUCUCUGACCCUCUUUGAGUUUACCCAUCAUAAGUAAUAGCAUGACCUCUUCUUCAAGUCAUUCAAAAAUGCAUUUGUUCUCCAUAAUAGAGAGAGAAGCUCCAGCCAAAUUAUAUUCUAAUGUAUCAUAGCCUUGAACUCGGGGACCAUUUUGCAUUGCUGACUAGGUGGCUGCUGAAUACAUUAUUGGUCCGCCAACGUUUGUGUCAGCUUUGUGAAGAGGCAGGUUUCCCAGCUUGUCUCCAAUAUUGCUAUUGUUAAGGCUUUUUAAGGGGGUGGGCAAAAAUAAAAAGGAGAAAAAGAGUGAAUACUGGAGUGUAAUCUGCUUUUGUGACUAGGUAAGUAUAACAGCCUCAUAAACCCUUGUUCCUGCAUAAAUAGUAGAUAUAGUCAUGUUGAAAAUGAGUGUGUCUCUGACAGGAUUGCCAUAUUCCUUGCUGGGGUAGGUGUAGUAGGGUGGAGAAGGGCCAGAGAAACUCAGGAAGGUAAGUAUGCUAAAGAAAUGAUUGAAUUUCCAACGUUCCCCCUGGCCUGAGGAAGUUGUUAGUUACUUACCCAGUGACUUGGACAUGAAGAGAAGAGUCCAUAAUGCCUGAUACUCCAGGCCCCCUUUUAUAUGGAGAAAAUACUGAAACUCACUCUUUCAUUUUAAUUUAACAGUUUGGACUCAGAUUUAUAGAAGAGGAAAUCCAAGGAAAGCAUAAAAUGACUUACUGAUGAGAAAUAUCUUCUUCCACUAGAACUGGCUGGAGCCAGUCAGUAAGUGAAGCCAAUGCAUAAAGUAAUAAAUGCAGCAUUGUAGUUACCCAGGCUUUGCUAAAUCACCUAUAACCAUAGCAUCUGGAUCCUUCUCCAGUGAAUCUAUGUUGGCCAGACCCCUGACACUGCAUUACUAAUACAGUGCAUUAAACAGUCCCCUAGUGGCUGCACAGAGGUGUUUCUUCCCAAAUACUCUCUUAGUGCCAUAGAGGAAUAAAAUGGUGGGGGUGGAAGGAGUGGAGAGGAUGGAGUCCAAGGUGCUAUUGGAGAGAGGCCUCACAUAGUCCCAUGCCAACUUGGCAUUGCCACCAUUUGGGAUCCAUGAAUCCCCUAGGCCUAGGUCCUGGAGCAUUUUUCAUACACAAGGAGGGAAGUUGGCAGGGUCAGGGAAAAUGUUUUUCUUUGCCUGGAGGCCUGACUGGCUGGAUUGGGUAUUUACACUGCCUGAGUUUGCCAGAUUAUCACUCAGUCCUCCCUUCUAGCCCGCUUUGGCUGUGUAGACUCUGCCUGUGUGAAACUAAGAGGAAAAACUGCACCCCCGCUCCCACCACUGCCACUGUUUCUGCCAAUUUCUCUCUGCACAUGUGAUUUUGGCCACAUGAAAUCUAGUGUAUUCAUGGCAAGGUGAAAGUGUCAUAAGGAAAACUAUACUGUCCAACAAUCUUGGAAACAUCCACUUGCCACCUUUCCCAUGGAAAACAAUAAUUUAUUACAGACUAGUUAGGAAGGAUGCAUAUUAUAUCUUCAUGAGGGAUGAUAGAUGUACGAGAAGAAGUAACCGGAAGGAGAACAAGAAUAGGUGUAACCCUUUUCUUUUCUUUUUGUUUCCUAUUUGCCAAGCUUAAGGUUCAUGUUGCAAUGAGAGUGUAGUGAAAAUGUCUCCCACCUGGGAGAUUGGAGAUCUUCAUUUAAAUCUCUACCCUAACAUGAACUAGCUGCCCAACCAUUCUGAGUUUCUUCCUAGGGAACAUUGGAGGGUUGACCUUGAUGCUGUCUAGAAAGUCCCUCCUAGGUCAGAUGUUGGAUCUUCCAUCUGAGUCUUUCUAUCUCAUGGCUCCCCUAUACCCACAUCCCACAGGACCUGUUCAUUUGAUUACUUCACUUAUUCAUUCAUUCAGAUGACAAACAGGUGUUAGGUCCUUUCCUUUCAGUUCCAGUUUCUUGAAAGAGGCCCACAGUCAUUGCCUUAAUUUUCUUAAGGCCUUUGGAGAUGUGAGCUUUUCACAAUGGCCACCCUGACUCCAUGAGGCUCCUAAACUUGCUCCCUGCAAGGCCAAUGGCUUUUUCUCAUCCCUUCUCAGCUUCUUCUGACCCUGGUGUGUUUGACAUGGUUGACCACAUGCUCCUUCAAGAAAUUCCUUUCAUGCUUUGUUCCUUCUGGACACUCAUGAUACCCUUUUCUGUCUUCUCUUGUGCUCUCUUUCUGCCACUGUAGUUCUAAUCUUGGAGGUUUUCUUUUGUUUCUUUUCCUGUUCUGUGUAAGUCACACCUCCCUCAGUGUCUUCAGUUCCUACUUUACUGCAACUGACUCUCAUAUCUGACUUUAGUCCAGAAUCUUCUCUUGGGCUCUAGAACCAUCCAGUCAUCUGUAACCUGGGUUCUUAUGUUUGGAUAUUUGACCAAACAUCCCCAGUCAGCUGGUCUGAACCACAUUCAUCCUCUUGCUUCUGAAAUCAGUUGCUGUAAAUGACAUUUGAAUCCUAAAAAUUGUGUCAGCUUCUCUUAAUCUCUUGACUGGAACACUUGGCCUUUCAUGUUUCCUUGCUGUUACCCUAGGAUAUGUAAAAAGUUACUAAAUUGUGCCAAUUCCACAUGCAAAUUGACAAUCAUAUGUCCCUUUCUUUUCCAUUUAUACUUCCCCCUUGGUUUCUUUUAAUUUAGUCAAUAAUAUUAAUUGAUUCCUGGGUGAAGAAGACUGCAUGCCAUGCCAUGAGAGAGGCAAAAUAUGAAAGGUAUGGUAUUUUCCCUUUAAGAGUAACAACUUAAAAGAGGCUAUCUUCAUGUAAAUUAAUUAUAAAGAAAGGUGGAAAGAGGUGACAGAAGAGAAAAAAUACAGUAUCUGGGAGUUUGUGAUAGCUACAAAAUAUAUUUUUGUUAAAUUUGAUUAAUCUCAAAUUCUAUUUUUAUAUUCCCAAAUGGCUCUAUCUUGUUGGUCUGAAUUACAUUCAUAGUUCUCAUUUCUUCCAUUUUUCUCUAUGUUUCAUGCAAGUCAGUUAUUUAUUUGAUGCCCUGCUUUCAAUAUUUAUAGUCUCCUGAAGCUCUCCAGGUAGUUGAAGUCUCUUCCUAUUACUCUGUUGUUUUUUUUUUUCUAUUUUUAGUAGUCUUCCCAUCUUCAUUGUAGGGGCAUCAUACCUUUAUCUGGCCAGGGAAACUGCAAUAUGCUCCCAGAUCAAUAUCACUUUAUUUCAUUCUCCAUUUAUUCUUACCUAAGUACUCUAUUUGAUCAACAAACAGUUUACACACCUGUUUAUAUGCUCUGUGGUAUGAGUUGGGUAUAGAAUGUUGGAUGGGACCUGCUUCCAUCCUUUGGGUUCUCAUAUUCUAGUAACAGAGUUAGACAAGCAAAUAAAUAAUUUAAAAAAAAAUUUUUUUUUCAACGUUUUUUAUUUAUUUUUGGGACAGAGAGAGACAGAGCAUGAACGGGGGAGGGGCAGAGAGAGAGGGAGACACAGAAUUAGAACCAGGCUCCGAGCCAUCAGCCCAGAGCCUGACGUGGGGCUCGAACUCACGGACCGUGAGAUCGUGACCUGGCUGAAGUCGGACGCUUAACCGACUGCGCCACCCAGGCGCCCCGCAAAUAAAUAAUUUUAGUUAACAUUUAUUGAGAACUAAAUAUGUCCUAGGUACUGUUUUAGAUUUCUUACAUAUAUGAAUGCAUUUAAUCCUCACUGCACUAUAGGAGAUCAGUAUUGUUAUUUUCCUCAUAUUACUCCCCAUGAGGAAGCUGAAGCAUUUUGUGGAAGAGUAAAGAUUUAAAAGUAAGCAGUCUAGGGGCACCUGUGUAGCUCAGUCGGUUAAGCAUCUGACUUCAGGUCAGGUCAUGAUCUUACAGUCUGUGAGUUUGAGCCCCACGUUGGGCUCUGUGCUGACAGCAUGGAGCCUGGAACCCGCUUCAGAUUCUGUGUCUGCCCCUCUCUCUUCCCCUCCCCUGCUUGUGCUCUCUCUAUCUCAAAAAUCAAUAAACAUUACAAAAAAAAAAAAAAGUAGGCAGUCUAACUCCUGAGCUCACAAUCACUAAUGUAAGUGACCCUCUCGUGUUCUGAUAACAUAUAACAUGUGUCUGUACUAUUAGACUAUGAAGCAGGGUUGGUGAUUUCAGUAAGGAAGACUAGCUUCAUGGUGUUUUAACUGUCUUGAGAAAACUAAGUAGUAUUUAAUUGGUAAAGAAAGGAAGAAAGAAAGAAGAAAGAAAGAAAGAAAGAAAGAAAGAAAGAAAGAAAGAAAGAAAGAAAGAAAGAAAGAAAGAAAGAAAAAGGAAGGAUGGCACUACUUGCUGAUGAAAAGCUUGAAGGGGCUGCUGUUUAGAAGGUCUGGUAAGUAGUUAAGAUGCCUCUGUGGAAGAUGAGUCUGGUGGGGGUUAAGGCUAGAGCAUUGACAUUUAAAUGAUGGAGGAAGAAGA